GACGAGGGAUCCUAGCGUUGUUCGGAAUUAUUGGGCGUAAAGCGGAUGUAGGUGGCUUUGUAAGUCAGAUGUGAAAGCCCAGGGCUCAACCCUGGAAGUGCAUUUGAUACUGCGAAGCUUGAGUGUCGGAGAGGUUACUAGAAUUGUUGGUGUAGUGGUGAAAUACGUAGAUAUCAACAGGAAUACCGGAGGCGAAGGCGGGUAACUGGCCGAACACUGACACUGAGAUCCGAAAGCGUGGGGAUCAAAC
rnacentral:rRNA from 1 species